rnacentral:misc_RNA from 1 species
AACCAUUCUCACCUGCGGCUAGACCUGCGGAAGGAUCAUUACAUUCAGUAGCCUAGCUACUUGUUUACACCCUUGUUUUUUUGCGCACUUCAUUGUAUCCCUCGGCGGGCUUGCUCGCCGGUUGGACAACAUGUAUAACCUUUUUUAAUCUUCAAUCAGCGUCUGAAUUAUAUUUAAUAAUUACAACUUUCAACAACGGAUCU